AAACGCGUCCCGGAUGGGGACGAGCUCCGGGCGCAGCCUAAAUUUAGCCGCGGUAUAUAAGCCGGCGGGCGGCAGCGGCCGUGGCCACUGUGGCGGCCUGGGCCUUGCGCUGACAGCCCGGCCCCUCGCGCGCCGCCAGGGCCGCGCCUCCCCCUCUCCCGGGCCCCGCCCCCGCCCGUCUCCCCGGCGACGUUGUCAACACGCGCUCCACAACAGCGGCGUGACGCUCAGGGAUCCCCCGGGCGCCCCGGGCUCCCGCCUGCGCGAGCAUCCCGGGGACCUGGAGCGGGGGCGGUGUCGGGGCCUCUCAGAGACUCUCAGGGGAGCACCGGGCUUGGCGGCCUCCCCGGAUCCCUUGACGGAAGGGGAGAUUGGCUCCAGCCUCAGAGAGGGCUGCAGAACCCUGGAUGGAUGGGAAGUCUGGAGUCUCCAGGAUUCAUGGAUGGGGUCACCCAGGCUGGAAUGCAGAGACGCGAUCAUAGUUCACUGCAGCCUUCAACUUCCAGGCUCAAGCAAUACUCCCGCCUCAGCCUCCUGAGUAGCUGGGAUUACAGGGUCUAAGCUGCCUUUCUCUUUACCAGCUGUUUUGCCCCAAAUAGCUAUUGUGUGCACUUGGCUCAGAUCCCAAGAGCAAGUACUCAGGAAUUCUACAGAAAACACGUCAUGUAAAAUACAGCUGAGCUUCCAAGACAAAUUAUGAACACUGGAGGAAUUACAAUCACAUUACAGCAGCAACUGGAUGAUGACUCCCAGCUGGGGCAGUUGGGGUGUUUCUGCUGAAGUUUGCACAACCGUUUUUCAGUAUGUUGCAAAACUUGGCUCCUCAUGUUGCAAAAAUGUUUGAUAGUUCUGUGUUUCUUGAGGAUGCGGAGAGAUACGGGCAGAGGCACCCUCUGCAAGUGCGCUUCUUAUCUCGGGUCACCACCUUGUCGCUGCAAUGCUUGGAGCUGAGGUCUGAUAGGAAAGGUCACUUUGUGAUUUGCCUGGUUGUCUCUGGAGUGUGUGUGUGUGUGUGUG